CGCGGCCUAUCAGCUUGUUGGUGGGGUGAUGGCCUACCAAGGCGACGACGGGUAGCCGGCCUGAGAGGGCGACCGGCCACACUGGGACUGAGACACGGCCCAGACUCCUACGGGAGGCAGCAGUGGGGAAUCUUGCGCAAUGGGCGAAAGCCUGACGCAGCGACGCCGCGUGAGGGAUGACGGCCUUCGGGUUGUAAACCUCUUUCAGCCCUGACGAAGCGAAAGUGACGGUAGGGGCAGAAGAAGCACCGGCCAACUACGUGCCAGCAGCCGCGGUAAUACGUAGGGUGCAAGCGUUGUCCGGAAUUAUUGGGCGUAAAGAGCUCGUAGGUGGCCUGUCGCGUCGGCUGUGAAAACUCGGGGCUCAACUCCGAGCUUGCAGUCGAUACGGGCAGGCUAGAGUGCGGCAGGGGAGACUGGAAUUCCUGGUGUAGCGGUGAAAUGCGCAGAUAUCAGGAGGAACACCGGUGGCGAAGGCGGGUCUCUGGGCCGAUACUGACACUGAGGAGCGAAAGCGUGGGGAGCGAACAGGAUUAGAUACCCUGGUAGUCCACGCCGUAAACGGUGGGCGCUAGGUGUGGGUUCCUUCCACGGAAUCCGUGCCGUAGCUAACGCAUUAAGCGCCCCGC
rnacentral:rRNA from 1 species